GAUGAAGAACGUAGCGAAAUGCGAUAAGUAAUGUGAAUUGCAGAAUUCAGUGAAUCAUCGAAUCUUUGAACGCACAUUGCGCCCCCCCGGCAUUCCGGGGAGCAUGCCUGUUCGAGCGUCUCUUGGAAUACCCCUCACGCCGGCGGAGGCGUGGUCAUGGCGGCGGUGGCGUGCCCCGGGAGGGAGGCCACCGCGCUGGAAUCCAUGGGCGGACGCCUGCCGCGUGGCCGAGCGUGAUAAGACGCACUGGCGCUCGCGCGCGGCGAGGCUGCCGGCCCUGGCCCGCUCGUCGGGCGGGGACAGCAACACUUGGGAACUCCUCGAAUCAGGUAGGGAUACCCGCUGAACUUAAGCAUAUCAAUAAGCGGAGGA
rnacentral:misc_RNA from 1 species